GUUAUAUGGUCAAGUGAAGAAGCGCAUACGGUGGAUGCCUUGGCAGUCAGAGGCGAUGAAAGACGUGGUAGCCUGCGAAAAGCUUCGGGGAGUCGGCAAACAGACUUUGAUCCGGAGAUGUCUGAAUGGGGGAACCCACCUAACAUAAGUUAGGUAUCUUAAGCUGAAUACAUAGGCUUAAGAAGCGAACCAGGGGAACUGAAACAUCUAAGUACCCUGAGGAAAAGAAAUCAACCGAGAUUCCCUUAGUAGUGGCGAGCGAACGGGGACCAGCCCUUAAGCUGUAUUGAUGUUAGCGGAACGCUCUGGAAAGUGCGGCCAUAGUGGGUGAUAGCCCUGUACGCGAAAACAUCUUUGCAGUGAAAUCGAGUAGGACGGAGCACGAGAAACUUUGUCUGAAUAUGGGGGGACCAUCCUCCAAGGCUAAAUACUAC
rnacentral:rRNA from 1 species